rnacentral:rRNA from 1 species
UACGUAGGUGGCAAGCGUUAUCCGGAUUUACUGGGCGUAAAGAGUGCGUAGGUGGUCCUUCAAGUCGGAUGUUAAAACUCACGGCUCAACUGUGAGAUGUCAUCCGAUACUGCUGGACUUGAGGGCAGUAGAGGAAGGUGGAACUCCCGGUGUAGUGGUGAAAUGCGUAGAUAUCGGGAAGAACACCAGUGGCGAAGGCGGCCUUCUGGGCUGCUUCUGACACUGAGGCACGAAAGCGUGGGGAG